rnacentral:lncRNA from 1 species
UUUUUUUUUUUUUUUUUUUUUUUUUUUGCGUAGGAUCUCAUGGGAGAAGCCCUAGAGAAGUCUUGGAAGAAAAAAACUUAGAGAAGAGGUGACAUUUCCUCAAGGAAACAAAUGACACAUCAGGUACAAGCAGAAAAAAAGCAGGUCCCAGUGCAGAAAAAAGCACGGAGACUGGCUGAACCGUGACUUUAGCUACAGAAAGAGAAUGCUAUAAAAGUGGAAACUGGGUAGAUUAUGAGACUUAUACAAAAAAGUAGAUUUUAUAGACAGUAGGUCAGAAACACUAAAAUAUUACCUGAAAGAAAAAAUAAAGAUCACAGGAAGCAGAAUGUGUUAAGAUGCAAAAAGAAGUUAAUCAUUUAGGGAUAUAAAUACAGCAGGGAUGAAGAACUAACUACAGAUGAUAGUGGACCAAAGUGUUCAGAUGAUAGUGGACCAUUUUUCCAUUUUCUUUAAUGGAUCAUUUACAAUUCAGUGGAGCAGUACAAUUUAGUAUCAGUAUUAAAGGCACAAAGUCUCAUAGGAGAAUUGGGAAAGAGCAUGUCAGGGCAAAUUUGAAAUAAAUAUAUAUUUUAAUAAAUUCUUCAGUCUUGAGUAGUUUCUUUCUAAGUAGCUUAAAAUUAUUAAAAUUACUCUUAGGGCCAUUUCACAUGUGUGAAUUCAUAAAGGAAAUAGAGCUACCAGAGGAGAGAAGGGGACAGGAUGGUAUCUAUAUUUUAAAUGAAGAAAAAUUAGUGCAUGGAAGAAAACAAUUAGUAUGGAUCUCCGAAAAACAUUUUCUUCAAAAUAAUUUGCUUCUAUCAUGGAGUAGCAUGACUUGUGAUGAAGGAAACUGUAACUGUCACACAACUUUUAAUGCAGUGGGAGAUAACAUUUUCACAAGCAAUUUAGUGAAAUACAAUAUAGAUGAAUGGUGAGUGACCAAGCAGAUGAAUAAUUGUACCAAAACAAAUAUUAAUCGAUGACUCUCUUUGAAGCAGAAGGAUGAUGAAUGGGAUUCUGCACAGUCCAUUCUGGAUACAAUUUUGUUCAGUACUUUCAUUUAAAUUAAGACAUCAGAAUAGAGCAUACACACACAUAAAUAUGCAUAUAUAAAUAUGCAUAUAUGUAUAUAUAUAACAUUUUAAGAUUGCAUGGAGCUGAAGAGUACAAUAAGCUUCCUGGGAAAAGUAAUUAAAAUUCGAAUAGGAAAAAAAUACAUGGAAAAUUUUUUUUCUAUUCAGUAGGCAGCAGUGGAAAGUUGUGGUAGAAGAUUUUAUUUACAAAUUGAGCAGGAAAAAUAAACUAUGAAAAAUACAGGAUGGGUUAAUGGAUGGUGUUUAGUACAACCUUAAAAAAAAAUCUGGUAAUUGAGGUGAAUUGUAAACUGUGCAGAAGUGAAAAAUGCCAUUGAGAAAAAGGUAAAGCUCGUUUGAGGAAGAGAUGCUGAAAUAAGACAUAUGAAAUAAUUCUCCCAGAGCACUUAGAACUCUCACCUGUAAUCCUGCAGCUGUGUGACUGGAUUCUUUAGGAAAAUACAGCAAAACCAUUAUAGUGAAGACAAAAGUAGUGGUAACAUGGAUACACAUGAAGAGUGUUUGGAUCAAUGUAGGUAAUUUAGCCUAAAGAAGAAAAUUUUAGGGGGAUAAUACGGCACAGUACUGAUACUGAUUUUUGAAGCAUCAGAGGAGAUCAUGUGAAUGGCUCUGAAGGCUCCAUUACUGCAUGCCUCUAAGACUAGAUUACAGAUGUCACUGAUUACUCAUUCUUGAUUAGCUAUCUCUGGCUCCAAUUUGAAGUUAUUUGAAAAGGUGCUGCCCAGCAGCAGCACUUUGCAGCUCAGUUGUUGUAGGAAAUGGCAGAGUUCAAAUCCUGGCGAAAACAAUUGAUAUAUUUAGAGAAUCACAGAUGCUUACACAACUCCACUAAAUGGUGCAAUAAAUGUCCUCAUGGACUGUCCAGACAUCCUUAUUAACAGAUCUGUCCUGAUGUCCUCUCAGUGAUCCAGCAGAGUUCCUGGGAUACACAUGUUCAAAGCAGCUACACCGUGAUUAUCUCACCAAGGAGUUCCUAAUACCUUUCACAGUUCCUAAUACCUUUCACAUGUCUCCCAUACUCACUGGCAGCCUAACUGCUUGGGCCAUGUCAAACAAACCUCAGUUAAUUGCCUUGUAUUUUUUUUUUUUAAUAGUGUCUUUGACAGUUUUUUAUAUCCCAUAUUAUCCUUUGAUUCCUUUACCUUCUCCACUUCUUUCAUCUACUCCUUUUCCACUUAGUAUAUGUGACAGAAAAAAGCUAUUUCAGUCUUAUGCAUUCAUUUUUAACAUUUCCCAUGAUUCUUACAACACCCAGAUGCUGAGUGAAUGACCAGUGACAAUCAAAUAGGAGACACAGCUAGAAACUGAUAUUUACCUUUUAUCUGCACCUCAUGGUACUGGUUCACAGCUGGCUGAAGAAAGCAUGAGUUUUGAUGAAGUUACAUACCACUAGAUAGCACAUACAGAUUUAAGUCAACUCAUUUUAAAAAUCUGGUAUAGGAUAAUAUCUAUGCAGAUAUUGUAUGGAUAUUUUAGAUAUUAAUUAUUAUGUAGAUAUUUCAUCUAUUUUUACAUACAUAAAAAUAACACAAGCAAUAAAAACUUUGUAACAGCACCUUAGUUUCUAUUCUAGCAUUUUUUAAAUUAAGUAUUUGAUAUUCAUUUUGAAAGAACUCCACGUUCCAACAUCCAUAUUUUAGUUCUGUGAGGUACGACACAUUCCAAAUUUCAGUCUUUCCUCUCUGUAAAUCUUUCUAGACUAAAUUUAAUCAGCUUUCCUGAGCCAAAUACCUCCUUUACACAUGCAGCUUUGCAUUUUCUGGAGAGAGGAAGAGCUUCAGCCCAUGCACUGCUCUGAAACCUAACAUGAAACAUUCAUGUGCUUUGGGACGUAGCUAUGAGCUGGGCUCCCUCUGGUUUACAAGUCAGACUUGUAACUUAAACUCUGGUUUAUAAGAGAGAGAAGCUCUGCUGAAUACCCACACUAUGUGAGUUCAAGAACAACCACCAUAAUAUAAUAUGAACAGCUUUUUGUUAUUGCAAAUAUUCUGAAAAUCAGAGCUUGGUAUUGGUAUAAAAUCUAGCCAAAAAUGAAUGAUCUGGGACUAAUUAUGAGUAAUCAAAGUAAAAAUUCCUGAGUGGGGAUGCAUGAAAAUUUCACCUACAGGCAAGUCAUUGCCAUUUUAAGAGAACUUCUAAAUUUACUGUGAAUUUCCUACACCAUGGCAUUUUUCCCUUUGGAAAUGGGAGAAGUCCUAAGAGCCUGAACUGUGGAAUCUUCAGUAGAGUCUUCCUUCCCACUGUAGGAAAAAUUUUUAACUUUAAGAAAUGGUUGCCUUUCUGUGCACUUAGCUCUUCCUUUUGCAUCCUGCACUACUCUUUUAUAUCAGGCACAGGACUGCAGGUGCUGGCAGUGGGGCCAGCUGGUCUCUCAAACCCCCUUUCUCUCUUUUAGUCCAUUAAAUCCUCCAUCAAGAAUCAAAUUCCAUAGAUUCUGAAAUUAAAAGUGGAGUUGAAAAGAAUGAAACAUUGUGUGCCACAAAGUGUGCAGGGAAGCAUGCCCAUGCACAGUACAGGGUGACUCAGAAGCAUUCCUAACUAACCAUAGUGAAUCCUGAGCAAGAAAUCACUGCUGUCAUCAUCUUGGAGGGGGACCCAAGGAAUGCUUAAAAACAGUUUUAUUAAUGGGAUAUGCCUUUCCAUGGAGAAUACAAUUUCAUUUUCAGUAAUUUCUGCAGUCACUGUGCAUAUCUCACCUUGCCCACUUUCUGUAUGCUGUUUUUAAAGGAUAGGAGAUGACUUGAGACACAGAAAGUGUGUGACUGCUAAGAACAGAAGCAGUGAUGCAGUUGAGGAAAUGGCCUGGAGUGGACAUCUUCCAUGUUCAACAAUGCAGUCGUACAUGAAAUACAAGAAAAAAAAAACACUAAAGAAAAGAGGAAAUGAAAGGUAGGAGAGAGAGAGAGAAGGACAGUGUAAGAAGAUUGAGUUAGCACAUGAUGCUGCUAACUGUUGUGCUAACUUUGGUCAUUCUAGCCCUUUCACAUCUGCAUUUUGUAGUAUAGGUGUUAAUGGAGUAUUGAUUUAUUUCAGAAGAGUUGUCUUCCUCACCCUAAUUCCCUGCUGGUUGCCUACUUACAAAGGUCACAUAUGCAUUCCAGAACUGAAGUAGGGCCUAGUCACAGAAUCAAAAAGAAAGAUUGUGCUUACAUUCAGAAAUUACACUACUGAUUAAAUUCUAAAGAUAUUCAAGGAUGUUUAAAACACAGGGUUUGAUCUAGAGUCUCUGACAAAAAUCUGACAAACCAUGUAUCCAAAGAUAUAUUUUGCUCUUGUGGUUUAUGAGUUUUUCGAGGGGCAGACUCACAAGGACAUCAGUCAUGAGUGUUCAUAAAAAUAACAAGCCCAAGGGGCUCCAUAUGAAAGAGCCAGUAACAGAUUAGUACAGAAAUAUACUACUUAAAUUAUAGUUAUCUUUCCUCCACACAGCAGUAACAAGCAGACAGGGAGGAUUUCAGCAAAUUAACCAAAUGGUGGUUAUUGUCCCUGAGCCAAUAGUGGGGAUAUGUCUCACUAACCCUUAGUCAAUCCUUACUUCAUAGUCAGUGGCUUUUCACUUGGGUGCUCCUUCAAUUGCUUUUGGUAAGAAGUAUAAUAAAAAUGAUGAGUGUCAUUUGAAAAUGAAAACCAAGUCAAACCUGGCUGCUGAAAAGCUCUUUUGAAAGCACCGUGCUGGACCUCCAUGAGCAUCACAUCUUAUGGGGACAGGUCAGUCAGUCUCUAACAUUCUCAAUGACAGGGACUCUUCCUCAUCACUGCAUCUGAUGAUCAAAAUUACUAGUGCAAGAAUGUGAUUAUCAGAAACAAAACAAUCAAUGCUAGAUCAUUUGGGGAGAAAUUCACUGAAUGCUUUUGACAAAAACAGGAGGCUGAGUCAUCCCAGACCUGUUUGUAAGUUGUCUAAAUUUAUUCCAUCUUUAAGUCUUUGAUUUUUUUUUCCUAUACUACACAUGCAGGCACUGCUAAGUAUCAACAUGGUAAAUUUUCUUUCAGCUGUAGCUGAAAUUUUCAUACUUAGAAUAAAGAAAUCAAUGACCUUUUCUAACAUUCCCUGAGUCACUAU